CAAUAAAGAAAGUAUUGUAAUGUGCACAUAAAUUGAUUUGAGCCUCUAGGUCUGUUAUCUCUGAUGUCAUUUGACUUUGAUUUGCGGGCAUGAUUUUACAACAAAACG